rnacentral:rRNA from 1 species
UUUCGAUGAUACGCGAGGAACCUUACCCGGGCUUGAAUUGCAGAGGACAUAGUUGAAAGAUUAUGGCCGCAAGGUCUCUGUGAAGGUGCUGCAUGGUUGUCGUCAGCUCGUGCCGUGAGGUGUCGGCUUAAGUGCCAUAACGAGCGCAACCCUUAUCAUUAGUUACUAACAGGUCAUGCUGAGGACUCUAGUGAGACUGCCGUCGUAAGAUGUGAGGAAGGUGGGGAUGACGUCAAAUCAGCACGGCCCUUACGUCCGGGGCUACACACGUGUUACAAUGGGGGGUACAGAGGGCAGCUACCGGGCGACCGGGUGCCAAUCCCAAAAACCUCUCUCAGUUCGGAUCGAAGUCUGCAACCCGACUUCGUGAAGCUGGAUUCGCUAGUAAUCGCGCAUCAGCCACGGCGCGGUGAAUACGUUCCCGGGCCUU